rnacentral:lncRNA from 1 species
GCUGGCACAAGGAGCCCCUGCUCCAUGCAGCUCUGCAGUUCCACCGUGGGGGGAGGGGGUCUCUCUGCUUUGGCUGGGCUCCCCCUCGCUCCCAGGGGCCUGCUGGGCUGGGCUUUCCCUGUGGGCUGCACCUGGCCAAGCCGAGGGGCUCCAGGGCCACCGCCCGGAGUGGAGCGUCCAGUGUGGGGGGCCCAGGAUCCCUGCUGGGCUCACGGCCCCAGGGCGGGGGCAGCUGGCAGGAGCACUGGCAGCAGGCCAGGCGUCCCCACGCUGUGCCUGGGGAGCUGAAAGCCGGGUCUGCGCCACCUCUCUGCUCCUAACCCCCCUCUCUCUCUCUCCCUGCCCUCCCCUCCUGCCGCAGCACUGGCGAGCAGAGGUAGGUGGCAUCCAGUCCUGUGCACGGCGUGACCCACGGCAUUGCGCAUGGCUCCUGUCUCCCUCGCUGCUCCCCAGGCGGGGCCAUGGGCUCGGGGCUGUGGGGGGCGGAGGCCAUGGGCUGGCAGGGCUCAGGGGCAGCGCACUACAGCACCCGGAGCCAGGCACUCUGGCCCCAGCCUGGCCCUGCCAGCAUCAGUGCAGCGGGGAAGGCGGCCAGCUCAGUCCCCAGGGUGGGUCAGGCCCUGAAACCACCAGCCUCGGGCAGUGCAAACGCUGCCUGCCAGGCCCCACAGACCCCGCUAGCCUCAUACAGGUUAGCGAUAGGCACAUGCCAAGCCCCGCAGAAUGCCCAGGCCCGCUGUGAGACGCAGCCCAGGGCCAGCGCCUGGCUGGGGACCCGGCAUAGGGAGAAAGAGCAGCCGUCCAGGUGACAGGGAGAAGGAUACUGAAACCAAAUGGUUGCCCGCUCUCUGGAGCCUGUGCUCCGCUACCCGGUUCCCCUCCUGGCUCGAGAGCGUUCUCACCCCACGUUCUCUCCAGCGUUUCCAGCCCAGGCUGGCUGAGCCCCCGCUUUCCUGACUACCGACGCGCUGUCCCCAGGGCACCGGGUGGGGGGCGGGGGUGUCCUCU